rnacentral:tRNA from 1 species
GGGGAUUUAGCUCAGUGGUAGAGCGCUUGCCUAGCAAGUGCAAGGCCCUUGGUUCAGUCCCCA